rnacentral:rRNA from 1 species
GACGAACGCUGGCGGCGUGCUUAACACAUGCAAGUCGAACGGAAAGGCCCUGCUUUUGUGGGGUGCUCGAGUGGCGAACGGGUGAGUAACACGCGAGUAACCUGCCCUUGUCUUUGGGAUAACUUCAGGAAACUGGGGCUAAUACCGGAUAGGAGCUCCUGCUGCAUGGUGGGGGUUGGAAAGUUUCGGCGGUUGGGGAUGGACUCGCGGCUUAUCAGCUUGUUGGUGGGGUAGUGGCUUACCAAGGCUUUGACGGGUAGCCGGCCUGAGAGGGUGACCGGCCACAAUGGGACUGAGAUACGGCCCAGACUCCUACGGGAGGCAGCAGUGGGGAAUAUUGCACAAUGGGCGGAAGCCUGAUGCAGCAACGCCGCGUGCGGGAAGACGGCCUUCGGGUUGUAAACAGCUUUCGACUGAGACGAAGAGUGAGUGACGGUAAUGGGUAAAGAAGCACCGGCUAACUACGUG